rnacentral:rRNA from 1 species
AUACGGAGGGUGCAAGCGUUAUCCGGAUUCAUUGGGUUUGAAGGGUACGUAGGCGGAUAGAUAAGUUAGUGGUGAAAUCCCGAAGCUCAACUUCGGAACUGCCAUUAAAACUGUCUAUCUUGAAUUUGGUUGAAGUGGGCGGAAUAUGACAUGUAGCGGUGAAAUGCAUAGAUAUGUCAUGGAACACCGAUAGUGAAGACAGCUCACUAAGCCAAUAUUGACGCUGAGGUACGAAAGCAUGGGUAGCGAACAGGAUUAGAUACCCUGGUAGUCC